UGCGUAGGCGGUUGGGUAAGUCAGACGUGAAAUUCCAGGGCUCAACCCUGAAACUGCGUUUGAUACUGCCUGACUAGAGUACUGGAGAGGAGACUGGAAUUCACGGUGUAGCAGUGAAAUGCGUAGAUAUCGUGAGGAAGACCAGUGGCGAAGGCGAGUCUCUGGACAGUAACUGACGCUGAGGCACGAAGGCUAAGGGAGCAAACG
rnacentral:rRNA from 1 species